rnacentral:rRNA from 1 species
UCGGGAAUAUUGCGCAAUGGAGGAAACUCUGACGCAGUGACGCCGCGUAUAGGAAGAAGGUUUUCGGAUUGUAAACUAUUUUAGUCAGGGAAGAGAAUGGACAGUACCUGAAGAAUAAGCUCCGGCUAACUACGUGCCAGCAGCCGCGGUAAUACGUAGGGAGCGAGCGUUAUCCGGAAUUAUUGGGUGUAAAGGGUGCGUAGACGGGAAUAUAAGUUAGUUGUGAAAUCCCUCGGCUUAACUGAGGAACUGCAACUAAAACUAUAUUUCUUGAGUGCAGGAGAGGAAAGUGGAAUUCCUAGUGUAGCGGUGAAAUGCGUAGAUAUUAGGAGGAACACCAGUGGCGAAGGCGGCUUUCUGGACUGUAACUGACGUUGAGGCACGAAAGUGUGGGGAGCAAACA